rnacentral:rRNA from 1 species
GCCGCGCCGGGCGAAGCGCCGCAAGAGGGGCGGCGAUGAGCCCCGCCGAGCGCGCGAUGACGCUUCACGCGUGGCGGCGCGCGCGCCGCAUUCUGUGCGUGAGGCUCGACAACAUGGGUGACGUGCUGAUGACGACGCCCGCGUUGCGCGCGCUGAAGGAAAGCGGCGAAGGGCGGCACUUGACGCUGCUCACGUCGAGCGCGGCCGCGCCGCUCGCCGCGCAUCUGCCGAUGAUCGACGACGUGUGGAUCUACGAUGCGCCGUGGGUCAAGCAUCCGGGCGCGGACGACGGCGCGGCCGCGGACGUCGCGAUGAUCGAGCGGAUCCUGUGCGGCGGCUUCGACGCCGCGGCGAUCUUCACCGUCUACAGCCAGAGCCCGCUGCCCGCCGCGAUGAUGUGCCGGCUCGCGGGGAUCGCGCUGCGGCUCGCGCAUUGCCGCGAGAAUCCGUACCGGCUGCUGACCGAGCGCAUCGCGGAAACGGAGCCGCAGGUGCAGUUGCGCCAUGAAGUGGCGCGGCAACUGGCGCUCGUGCGCGAGGUGGGCGCGACGACGCGCGACAUGCGGCUCGCGUUCGAGCCGGGCGACGCCGCGCGGCGCGCUGUGCGCGCGCGGCUGCGUGCGGCGCGGCUUGCGUGGCGCGCGCAGGCGGAGGGGGGCGCGGAAGGCGACGGGCGGGAUCGCGCGCAGGCGCGCGGGGCGGGGGCUUGCCUCGAGCCGGACGACGCGGCGGCUUCGGCUGCUUCGACGCGUUCGGCUGCGGCCGAGGCGAAUGGCUCCGACGAUUCGUUUGCGGCCCACGGGGCAAAUGCUUCAAUCGCUGCGACUGCUUCGGUUGUUCCGGCUGCCGCGGCUGCAUCGGUCAAGUCGACUGCAUCGACCGAUUCGGCUGAUUCGACCGAUUCGGCUGAUUCGGCUGAUUCGGCUGAUGCGGCUGAUGCGGCUGAUGCGGCUGAUUCGAUCGCUUCAGCCGCUGCGGUUGCCGCAAGCAAUCCGAACGAUUCAACCGAUCCGCCCACCGACCUCGGCCGCUGGCUCGUCGUUCAUCCGGGCGCGAGCGCGGCGUCGCGGCGCUGGCCCGCCGAGCGCUUCGCGGACGUCGUCGCGCGCGUCGCCCGGUAUUUCGACGGCGUAGCGGUGACGGGCGGCGCGCACGAGCGCGCGCUCGUCGAGACUGUUUGCGCGCGCGCCGGCAAGCGCGUGCUGCCAUUGGCCGGCGCGCUGUCGAUCGGCGAGCUCGGCGCGCUGAUCGAAGCGGCCGACCUGCUGCUCGCGAACAACAGCGGCCCCGUGCAUCUCGCGGCGGCGCUGGGCACGCCGGUGGUCGAUCUGUAUGCGCUGACGAAUCCGCAGCACACGCCGUGGCGCGUGCCGAGCCGCGUGCUGAACGCCGACGUGCCGUGCCGUCACUGUUACCGCAGCGUCUGCGAUCAGCCGGGCCAUCCUUGCCUCGAGCGCGUGAGCGUGGACGACGUCGUCGCGGCCGUGCGCGAACUGAUGCGCGAAACCACGGGUUCGCACGGCGCGGGCGGCGGCGGCGCGGUGUCGCCGAUUCGCGGCGGCGCAGCGCGGCACGGUACGCACGCCGGCUCCGUGCGCGGCGCGGCCGCGCCCUGCGCCGUGCGGGGCGCCGCGCAUGCGCGCGACGCAUCGGAGCCCGCCGUGAGCGCGUCGGCGCUUGCCGUGCGCGCAGCCGGCGCGCAUGCAUCCGACGCGGGCUUGUCCGCGGCCGGGGCAUCCGCUCGCGGCGUAUCCGCUGCCGGCGUGCCCGUCGAGGGCGGACCGCUUGCCGACCCGCCGCACGACGCACCGCCCACGCCGCCCAUGCCGCCCCCACGCGCCGCCGUCCCUUCAACCGCUUCGCCGCGCGCGGCGAACGUCGUUCCGAUCACCUCCGCGACCGCAAGGACCUGACGCAUGGCCAAAUCCCGUCCACCGCUCUACACGCUCGGCAUCAACGCCGCGUUCCACGAUACCGCCGCGUGCCUCGUGCGCGACGGCGUCGUCGUCGCGGCGGCCGAGGAGGAGCGCUUCACGCGCAUCAAGCACGGCAAGCGCCCGGUGCCGUUCUCGACCUGGGAGCUGCCGUAUCACGCCAUCGACUAUUGCCUCGCCGAGGCGGGCAUCACGCUCGCCGAAGUCGCGCACGUCGCGUACUCGUACGAUCCGUGGCAGCAGAUCGAGCGCGACGGCCGCGAGCCGACGUUCACGCUGCCGCUGUCGCCAUCCGCGCAUGCGCGCGCGAACGGGCAUGCGUCGCCGUGGAAGCCGCUAUUCCUGUCGUACAUCGUCAACGCGCCGCGCCAGCUCGCGGACGGCGCGCCGCAUCAUCUGCGCCGGCGCUUUCGCGGCGUGACGCCCGAUGGGCCGUUCCGCUGGCAUUUCGUCGAACAUCAUCUGUCGCACGAGGCGAGCGCGUUCCUCGCCGCGCCGUUUUCGCACUGCGCGGUGCUGACGAUGGACGGCCGCGGCGAGAAGGCGACGACGAGCUACGGCGUGUUCGACGGCCACGUGUACCGCCGUGUCGGCCAAGUCGAUCUGCCGCAUUCGCUUGGCCUGCUGUAUGAGCGCGUGACGCGCCAUCUCGGCUUCCUGCACUCGUCCGACGAGUACAAGGUGAUGGCGCUCGCGUCGUUCGGCAAGCCGGCGUUCGCGCACGCGCUGCGCCGCCUCGUGCGCUAUGUCGGCGACGGCCGCUACGAAACGCCCGCGCUCGAUCUGCGCGAGCUGCUCGGCCCGCCGCGCGAGCGCGGCGCGCGCGUCGAGCCGCGCCAUUGCGACAUCGCGCACUCGCUGCAGGCGGUGCUCGAAGAGGUGGUGCUGGAGAUCGUCGAUUGGCUUGCCGGCGCAACCGGCGAGAAGCGCCUCGCGAUGGCGGGCGGCGUCGCGCUGAACUGCGUGAUGAACGCGAAGAUCCGCGAUCGCGGCCGCUUCGAGGACGUCUGGGUGCAGCCCGCCGCGGGCGACGCGGGCACCGCGCUCGGCGCGGCGCUGUGGACGGAUUUCAGCGAACGCGGCGAGCGCGGCGGCUGGCGGAUGGAUCAUGCGUUCCUCGGCCCGGCAUACGACGAGCGUGCGAUCGAGGCGUGCCUGAUCGACGCGAAGCUGCCGUACCGGCGGCUCGCGAACGUCGCCGCCGAAACCGC